rnacentral:rRNA from 1 species
AUUGAACGCUGGCGGCAUGCCUUACACAUGCAAGUCGAACGGCAGCACGGGACCUUGCUCCUGGUGGCGAGUGGCGAACGGGUGAGUAAUACAUCGGAACGUACCCUGAAGUGGGGGAUAACGUAGCGAAAGUUACGCUAAUACCGCAUAUUCUGUGAGCAGGAAAGAGGGGGAUCGCAAGACCUCUUGCUUUAGGAGCGGCCGAUGUCGGAUUAGCUAGUUGGUGAGGUAAAGGCUCACCAAGGCGACGAUCCGUAGCGGGUCUGAGAGGAUGAUCCGCCACACUGGGACUGAGACACGGCCCAGACUCCUACGGGAGGCAGCAGUGGGGAAUUUUGGACAAUGGGCGCAAGCCUGAUCCAGCCAUGCCGCGUGAGUGAAGAAGGCCCUUCGGGUUGUUAAAGGCUCUUUCCGGUUGGGGGAAGGAAAAUUAGGCUUCGGUUAAUACCUGGAGUAGAUGACGGUACCCGCAUAAGAAGCACCGGCUAACUACGUGCCAGCA